rnacentral:snRNA from 1 species
GUACUCACCUCAGCAACACAGAUACUAAAAAUUGGAACAAUACAGAGAUUAGCAUGGCCCUUGUACAGGAUGAUGCAGAAAUUCGUGAAGCAUUCCAUAUUAAA